UUUUUAACGAAAUUAUGUUAAGUAAGACCUGCUCCAUGUUAAAUAAAUAGCCGCAGAAAUUUUACUGUGCUAAGGUAGCAUAAUCAUUUGUCUUUUAAUUAGAGACUUGUAUGAAAGGUUUAACAUUCAGUAUCUUUUUUCAUUAAUAUUUUUAAAUUGUAUUAAGAAUAAAAAUAUUCUUAUUUUUAAAAUAGACGACAAGACCCUAUUGAACUUAACUUAAGUUAAGCUGGGGCAGCUAAUUAAUGAUUCCUUUAAUUUCCCCCCCCCUUAAAAAAAGACCCAAUAUAAAUGUAUACCUGAUUAAGUUACCAUAGGGAUAACAGCGUAAUUUUUUUUUAAAGCUCUUAUUUUAAAUAAAGAUUGCGACCUCGAUGUUGAAUUAAUAAUACUUUUUGGUGUAAAAACUUCAAAAGUAGGCCUGUUCGGCCUAUAAAUUAUUACAU
rnacentral:rRNA from 1 species